rnacentral:tRNA from 1 species
GAGGGUAUAGCUCAGUGGUAGAGUGCAUGCCUAGCAUGCAUGAGGUCCUGGCUUCAAUCCCCAGUACACUUC